CCGCAUCCUUGGGGAAUGAGUCCCAGCCCGUGCAAGGGGCCAGGGAAGAUUUUUGUCUGGGGAGAAGCAGGGACUGUAUCCCUGUGCAAUACUUUUGGUAUCUGGGGCCAAGGUACCCAGGUCACCGUCUCCCAAGCCUCCACCACGGCCCCAUCGGUGUUCCCACUGGCCCCCAGCUGCGGGACCACAUCUGGCGCCACCGUGGCCCUGGCCUGCCUGGUGUUAGGCUACUUCCCUGAGCCGGUGACCGUGUCCUGGAACUCCGGCGCCCUGACCAGCGGUGUGCACACCUUCCCGUCCGUCCUGCAGGCCUCGGGGCUCUACUCUCUCAGCAGCAUGGUGACAGUGCCCUCCAGCAGGUGGCUCAGUGAGACCUUCACCUGCAACGUGGCCCACCCGCCCAGCAACACCAAGGUGGACAAGACCGUGCCCAAAACCGAGCUCCCACCGAAACCCAAAUCCUGCGACUGUCCCAAAUGCCCACCUCCUGAGAUGCUUGGAGGACCGUCCAUAUUCAUCUUCCCCCCAAAACCCAAGGAUACCCUCUCGAUUUCCCGGACGCCGGAGGUCACGUGCUUGGUGGUGGACUUGGGCCCAGAUGACUCCGAUGUCCAGAUCACAUGGUUUGUGGAUAACACCCAGGUGUAUACAGCCAAGACGAGGCCACGUGAGGAGCAGUUCAACAGCACCUACCGUGUGGUCAGUGUCCUCCCCAUCCUACACCAGGACUGGCUCAAGGGGAAGAACUUCAAGUGCAAGGUGAACAGCAAAUCCCUCCCCUCCCCCAUCGAGAGGACCAUCUCCAAGGACAAAGGACAGCCCCAUGAGCCCCAGGUGUACGUCCUGCCUCCAGCCCAGGAGGAGCUCAGCAGGAACAAAGUCAGUGUGACCUGCCUGAUCGAAGGCUUCUACCCGCCUGACAUUGCCGUCGAGUGGGAGAUCACCGGACAGCCGGAGCCAGAGAACAACUACCGGACGACCCCGCCCCAGCUGGACAGCGACGGGACCUACUUCCUGUACAGCAGGCUCUCGGUGGACAGGUCCCGCUGGCAGAGGGGAAACACCUACACCUGCUCGGUGUCACACGAAGCUCUGCACAGCCACCACACACAGAAAUCCCUCACCCAGUCUCCGGAGCUGCUCCUGGACGACAGCUGUGCGGAGGACCAGGACGGGGAGCUGGAUGGGCUGUGGACCACCAUCUCCAUCUUCAUCACGCUCUUCCUGCUCAGCGUGUGCUACAGCGCCACUGUCACCCUCUUCAAGGUGAAGUGGAUCUUCUCCUCGGUGGUGGAGCUGAAGCGCACGAUCGCGCCCGACUACAGGAACAUGAUCGGGCAGGGGGCCUAGGGCCAGCCCGCCUGGGCAGGUGUCAGCGCUGCCCCAACCCUGCACAGGAUCCCGGUGCAUCAGCCUGCUGCCAGGCCUGCUCUCCCGCCCUCUGACCUCGCCACCCUCUGACCUCACAGCCACCCUGGGCCUGCGCCCUCGCCCUCUGGCCUCGCGGCCCCUGUGAGCUGCAUCCUGCGCCCUGACCCCCCCGUUCGGAGAAUCGCGUGGACGGCAGGUUGUGCCCCAACCUGAGCUGGUGGACGCCCGUUGGGCCCUCCACGGCGGCCGCCAGGCUACCGCUGUGGCCGCGCACGGUCAGCGGGCACGCUCAUCCUGGAGGAGGCGGGCGGCUGCGAUCCCAGUGUCUGUCUGGCAGGGACCGGCCUCUGUGCGAACCCCGUCCAGGCCAGGCUCCAGGACGCAGGGUUUCCCCAGAGCAGCCACGUCGGCCCAGAUCCUGAGGAAGCUUCCGACGUGUCACUAACGGUCAGUCAGAUCUUCUGCGCCAGAGGAGACCGCGCAGACAAGGGCCUGGGCCUGUGGCUGCUGCAGGAGCCCCGUGGAUGCCGGGGACAGAGUGACAUCCAGCCAGACAGGCCUCCUGCAGAGGGGUCUGGUGACCUGGUCCCCGGGCCAGUGGGACACAGCCUCGGUGGACACAGGUGGAAGGUGCCAGGAGGCCAGGGCGGCAGGCCCAGCCCGCCCCCCCCGUGGCCGGGGCCUGAGUCCCAACAGGCUCACACGGGGGGUGGGAGACAGAGACAAGCCCACGGCCGGGCGGACCCCCAGGACUGGCUCUCCGCCCUGGCUUUGGGUGGGUGCCAAGUCGGGGCCCCCACAUGGGAAGAGAUGACCACGCAGGGGAGGAGGAGCAGAGCCCCCAGCCCCAGGGACAGAGAGCCCGGGGGUCCCAUAUGGGAAAGCCACUGCCUAAGCUUGGAUAGCUUGUUUUAUUGUUUUAAAUGUCUGGAGCUCGUUGAUUUCCUUUAGCAUUUCUUUUUCUUUUCCUUUUUUUUUUUUUUUUUUUUAAUGACAAUAAAACAUCCUUAAAAACUCCAUAA